UGAACGCGAAGAACCUUACCACGGGGGUCUUGUACACACCGAACGCGAAGAACCUUACCAGGUCUUGACAUCCAGUGCAAACCUACGAGAUUAGGUGUUCCCUUCGGGGACGCUGAGACAGGUGGUGCAUGGCUGUCGUCAGCUCGUGUCGUGAGAUGUUGGGUUAAGUCCCGCAACGAGCGCAACCCUUGUCAUUAGUUGCCAUCAUUAAGUUGGGCACUCUAAUGAGACUGCCGGUGACAAACCGGAGGAAGGUGGGGAUGACGUCAAGUCAUCAUGCCCCUUAUGACCUGGGCUACACACGUGCUACAAUGGACGGUACAACGAGAAGCGAACCUGCGAAGGCAAGCGGAUCUCUUAAAGCCGUUCUCAGUUCGGACUGUGGGCUGCAACUCGCCUACACGAAGCUGGAAUCGCUAGUAAUCGCGGAUCAGCACGCCGCGGUGAAUACGUUCCCGGGUCUUGUACACACCG
rnacentral:rRNA from 1 species